AGAGUUUGAUCCUGGCUCAGGAUGAACGCUGGCGGCGUGUUUAACACAUGCAAGUCGAGCGAGAAGCUUCUCAGUUGAUUCUUCGGAUGAAACAGAGUUGCGGAAAGCGGCGGACGGGUGAGUAACGCGUAGGCAACCUGCCCCCUGCAGAGGGAUAGCCUCGGGAAACCGGGAUUAAAACCUCAUAAUGCGCGACUGAGACAUCUCAGAUGCGCCAAAGAUUUAUCGGCAGGGGAUGGGCCUGCGUCUGAUUAGUUAGUUGGUGGGGUAACGGCCUACCAAGGCGACGAUCAGUAGCCGACCUGAGAGGGUGAUCGGCCACAUUGGAACUGAGACACGGUCCAAACUCCUACGGGAGGCAGCGGUGGAGAAUCUUGCACAAUGGGCGAAAGCCUGAUGCAGCAACGCCGCGUGAAGGAUGAAGGCCCUUGGGUCGUAAACUUCUGUUCUAAGGGAAGAUAAUGACGGUACCUUAGGAGCAAGUCCCGGCUAACUACGUGCCAGCAGCCGCGGUAAUACGUAGGGGGCAAGCGUUAUCCGGAAUUAUUGGGCGUAAAGAGUACGUAGGUGGUUUCCUAAGCGAGGGGUUUAAGGCAAUGGCUUAACCAUUGUUCGCCCCCCGAACUGGGUUACUUGAGUGCUGGAGGGGAAAGCGGAAUUCCUAGUGUAGCGGUGAAAUGCGUAGAUAUUAGGAGGAACACCAGUGGCGAAGGCGGCUUUCUGGACAGUAACUGACACUGAGGUACGAAAGUGUGGGGAGCAAACAGGAUUAGAUACCCUGGUAGUCCACACCGUAAACGAUGAGCACUAGGUGUUGGGUUCGCAAGAACUCGGUGCCGCAGUUAACGCAUUAAGUGCUCCGCCUGGGGAGUACGUACGCAAGUAUGAAACUCAAAGGAAUUGACGGGGACCCGCACAAGCAGCGGAGCAUGUGGUUUAAUUCGAAGCAACGCGAAGAACCUUACCAGGACUUGACAUCCCUCUGACCGGCCAGAUAACGACGGCCUUUCUUCGGACAGAGGUGACAGGUGGUGCAUGGUUGUCGUCAGCUCGUGUCGUGAGAUGUUGGGUUAAGUCCCGCAACGAGCGCAACCCUUGCCAUUAGUUGCUACGCAAGAGCACUCUAAUGGGACCGCUACCGACAAGGUGGAGGAAGGUGGGGACGACGUCAAAUCAUCAUGCCCCUUAUGACCUGGGCUACACACGUAAUACAAUGGCCGUUAACAAUGGGAAGCAAUGCCGCGAGGCGGAGCAAACCCCCAAAAACGGUCUCAGUUCGGAUCGCAGGCUGCAACCCGCCUGCGUGAAGUUGGAAUUGCUAGUAAUCGCGGAUCAGCAUGCCGCGGUGAAUACGUUCCCGGGCCUUGUACACACCGCCCGUCACACCAUGGGAGUUUGUAACACCCGAAGUCAUUAGUCUAACCGCAAGGAGGACGGUGCCGAAGGUGGGAUAAGCGACUGGGGUGAAGUCGUAACAAGGUAACC
rnacentral:rRNA from 1 species